AGCAGCCGCGGUAAUUCCAGCUCCAAUAGCGUAUAUUAAAGUUGUUGCAGUUAAAAGCUCGUAGUUGAAUUUCGGGAUUGGCGCAUCGGUCGUGCCUCACGGGGUAUGAACUGGUGCAGUCAAUUUCUCACCUUCUGGAGAACCGCGAUGUCCUUAAUUGGGUGCCGCGGGGAACCAGGACCUUUACUUUGAAAAAUUAGAGUGUUUAAAGCAGGCAUUUUUGCUUGAAUACAUUAGCAUGGAAUAAUAAAAUAGGACGGCAUGGUUCUAUUUUGUUGGUUUCUAGGACCACCGUAAUGAUUAAUAGGGAUAGUUGGGGGCAUUAGUAUUCAAUUGUCAGAGGUGAAAUUCUUGGAUUUAUUGAAGACUAACUACUGCGAAAGCAUUUGCCAAGGAUGUUUUCAUUAAUCAAGAACGAAAGUUAGGGAUCGAAGACGAUCAGAUACCGUCGUAGUCUUAACCAUAAACUAUAGCCGACUAGGAAUCAGACGAUGUUAAUUUUUAAUGUACUUCGUUUGGC
rnacentral:rRNA from 1 species